AGCUUUAGGAUUGGAUCUAAAGUUAAACCUGCCCAAUGUAUAUUAUUAAUGGCCGCGGUACUUUGACCGUGCUAAGGUAGCGCAAUCAAUUGGCUCUUAAUUGGAGUCGGGUAUGAAUGGAGUUACGGAGUUUAGCUGUCUCUUUAUUAAUUUCUUGAAAUUACUAUGUAGGUGAAAAAGCCUAAGUAUAGAAAAAGGACGAGAAGACCCUUAGAGUUUUACUUAAAUCGAAUAUAGAUAGGUAUUCUUAACAGUUUAGUUGGGGCAACAUAGGAGAAAAUUUUAAUCUCCUUAAAUAUAACUAACCGACGAUUUUAAAUAUGAAUAAACUACCUUAGGGAUAACAGCAUAAUUUAUUAAAUAAGCUUGUGACCUCGAUGUUGGAUUAGGAAACCUAAAGGCUAGCCGUUUUUAGGUAAAGUUCUGUUCGAACUAUUAUUCCU
rnacentral:rRNA from 1 species